rnacentral:rRNA from 1 species
AUACGUAGGGUGCAAGCGUUAAUCGGAAUUACUGGGCGUAAAGCGUGCGCAGGCGGUUUUGUAAGACAGUGGUGAAAUCCCCGGGCUCGACCUGGGAACUGCCAUUGUGACUGCAAGGCUGGAGUGCGGCAGAGGGGGAUGGAAUUCCGGGUGUAGCAGUGAAAAGCGUGGAGAUGCGGAGGAACACCGAUGGCGAAGGCAAUCGCCUGGGCCUGCGCUGACGCUCAUGCACGAAAGCGUGGGGAGCAAACAUGAGUAGAUACCCUGGUAGUCCACGCACUAAACGAUGCCAACUGGUUGUUGGGGUUUUAUUUUCUCAGUAACGAAGCUAACGCGUGAAGUGGACCGCCUGGGGAGUACGGCCGCAAGGUGGAAACUCACAGGAAUUGACGGGG